AUUGAACGCUGGCGGCAGGCCUAACACAUGCAAGUCGAGCGAGCGGCGGACGGGUGAGCAAUGUCUGGGCAACUGCGUGAUGGAGGGGGAUAACUACUGGAACCGGUAGCUACAACCGCAUACCUUCAGCUGUGCCCAGAUGGGUUUAGGUUGUGGGUGGGGUAAAGGCUAACCUAGGCGACGAUCCGUAGCUGGUCUGAGAGGAUGACCAGCCACACGGGAACUGAGACACGGUCCAGACUCCUACGGGAGGCAGCAGUGGGGAAUAUUGCACAAUGGGCGCAAGCCUGAUGCAGCCAUGCCGCGUGUGUGAAGAAGGUCUUCGGAUUGUAAAGCACUUUAAGCGGGGAGGCGUUACUCACAGAGGAAGCACCGGCUAACUCCGUGCCAGCAGCCGCGGUAAUUC
rnacentral:rRNA from 1 species